UAGUAGGGGAUGAAUGUUAAUACUAACAUAGUUUAGUUAGCAUGCGCUUGUAACAUGCAAGUAUUAUCUUAUGUAUUUAUUCUUUAUUAGUUGGGAUUUAUGUUUAAUAUAACUUCGUGAAGUUCUUCAUAAAUUUGAAAAUCUUGAUAGUGUCGAUAAAAAUUUAAUUUGCUUUAUUGUUUUUGAUUAUCAUUAAUAAAAUAUAAAAAAAUUUUUGGUUAAGAAUAGUAUUAGUGAAUCAAAAAGUUUCUGUACAUGUUAACAGAAUAAUAUUACAGAUGCCAUACAUUUUGGUACGUGGUAAUCUUGCAUCAUAUGGUCAUCGAUAUCCAUGGAGAGUUUUAGUAUCAGGUCUUAAAGCAUCCGAUAUAGAACAACUGAGUCGUUUUGCUUCUGGAGGAUAUAGUGAUGAUUCGACAAUAGUGUAUUUACAACAUCCUUGUGUAAUAUUAACUGCUUUAGAAGUUCUUGGUUACAAAGUCGUAGCAUCUUCAAGUACUAGUGUUAAACAAGAUUAUAAUGAGUAUAUGUGGACUAUGAGAAAAGAUUUUUCUGAACCUGAACCCGAACCUGUUAUUAAGACAGGUAAAUCACUCAGGUAUUAAAUCUGUACCUAUAUUAAACAUGGAGCAUAAUCAUAGUUAUAAUGAUCAUAAUAAAUGCUGCAAUGUAAGUACUAAUGUCAGUGUUUGUCAAUCUUUAAUGGAAAUGGAGUUUGAACGUGGUAUAUGGUAUGCUGCACAAUAUAAUGAUUUGGAUCGUGUAAAGACAUUAUUGAAGAAAGGUGUUUCUCCUAAUAUAGAAGAUUCAGCUGGAUAUACAGCAUUACAUUAUGCAGCUAGAAACGGACAUUAUAAAAUUUGUAAUAUGUUAUUAGAAAAUGAUGCAGCCGUGAAUGCACAAACACGCUGUGGUCGAGCCACUGCUUUACAUAGAGCAGCUAUGCAAGGUCACUGUAACAUUGUCGAACUUUUGUUAAAAUAUGAUGCAAAUCCUAAUUUAAAAGAUGCUGAUAAUUAUACUCCUUUACAUAAAGCACUUAUAGCACGCUCAACA